rnacentral:rRNA from 1 species
UACGAAGGGGGCUAGCGUUGUUCGGAAUUACUGGGCGUAAAGCGCACGUAGGCGGAUACUUAAGUCAGGGGUGAAAUCCCGAGGCUCAACCUCGGAACUGCCUUCGAUACUGGCGAUCUUGAGUCCGGGAGAGGUGAGUGGAACUCCGAGUGUAGAGGUGAAAUUCGUAGAUAUUCGGAAGAACACCAGUGGCGAAGGCGGCUCACUGGCCCGGUACUGACGCUGAGAUACGAAAGCGUGGGGAGCAAACAGG